AAAAAAAAAAAAAAAAAAAAAAGAAGUUGUUUGUUCUCCAUCACAUUAUUUUCCAUCGCUUCCUUCUUCUUUGUCUUUUUCUUCAUCGUUUUCUUUUGCUUCCAAGUUGUUGUUUUUGUAAUUCCAUAGUUGUAUGUCUGCUCCCACUUGUUAAG
rnacentral:ribozyme from 1 species